rnacentral:rRNA from 1 species
GAUGAACGCUGGCGGCGUGCCUAAUACAUGCAAGUCGAGCGAACAGACGAGGAGCUUGCUCCUCUGACGUUAGCGGCGGACGGGUGAGUAACACGUGGAUAACCUACCUAUAAGACUGGGAUAACUUCGGGAAACCGGAGCUAAUACCGGAUAAUAUAUUGAACCGCAUGGUUCAAUAGUGAAAGACGGUUUUGCUGUCACUUAUAGAUGGAUCCGCGCCGCAUUAGCUAGUUGGUAAGGUAACGGCUUACCAAGGCGACGAUGCGUAGCCGACCUGAGAGGGUGAUCGGCCACACUGGAACUGAGACACGAUCCAGACUCCUACGGGAGGCAGCAGUAGGGAAUCUUCCGCAAUGGGCGAAAGCCGGACGGAGCAACGCCGCGUGAGUGAUGAAGGUCUUCGGAUCGUAAAACUCUGUUAUUAGGGAAGAACAAAUGUGUAAGUAACUAUGCACGUCUUGACGGUACCUAAUCAGAAAGCCACGGCUAACUACGUG